AGGUAAAUAUUCCUCACGCCAGCAGGUGAGGAGGCUGGGGCCAGAUGACAGCUAGUGAGGGAGCAGAGACAAGACAAGGCGAGCCUGUGACAGAGCGAGACCCUGUCUCAAAAAACAAAAACAAGACAUGUGAGCUUGGACUCCAGUGUGGAAUCCCAUGUCCGCUCAGUGCACCUUUCUGCCGCUGAAAGUACAAGAGGAGAGGGGAAACCCACAGGUGGAGCUGACCAUGAGGACUGUCACAGCUUUGAGAGGCAAAUCCAGAAAUCAGCCCUCCAGCUUCCUCUACCAAGAAGACUGGCGGUUACAACCCUGGCUCUGUGGGGCUUCUCUUGCCCUCUCUUCUGACUGCCCUACUUGGCUCCAGGUGAGGGUGAGAGGAAGCUGGAGAUGGAAGAUGCAGCUGGGGGAACUCACCAGGCAGGUCUCAGGGAACUCUUUGAAUAAGAGGACACCAGAUCAUGCCUGCAGUUCCAGCCCAGGAGCAACUAGCACCAGCCUCAGCAUGGAGCAGGACUUCAGUUCCAGCAGCGAGGACUGAGAUCAGACACAAGAGAAAGCUCCCUGAUGAGGAGGGGUGAUUCUAAAACGAAGGGCGGAAAUUAUCUGGGGAAUUUCCUUCCCGUGAAGCCUCAGGAACAUGCCAGUCCCCCACUUCGGUCUGUCCUGGGGGGUCUCACGCCCCUGUCCUCCUAGAGAAAUCUAGAUCCUCCAAACUCUGCCUGGGUUCUUCCUGGGGAGUCUUGACCCCUGCCUUGUGGUUGAUGUGGGAUAGGGGACCCGGGAACAGGGCUGCCUUCCUCUGGCCAAGGCCUGGCAAGCAAGUGUGGGAUGGGUGCUGUCUUCCUGAGAGGGACAAUAGAAGUGACAGAGCCCCCUAAUUCAAGACCCUGCAGAGGUGGUGUGAGAUCUUAUAAUAUCAGUCUCUAAGCCAGUGCCUCUCAAGCUCUCUUUGGUGAAGAAUCAAUUUUUAAAAUAUAUAAUCAGUCACAGAUCAAUGCUUUUGUAAAAUGCAAUAAAAGUUAAUUUCCAAAAAAAUCACA